CCUACGGGGGGCUGCAGUAACGAAUCUUCCGCAAUGCACGAAAGUGUGACGGAGCGACGCCGCGUGCUGGAUGAAGUCCUUCGGGAUGUAAACAGCUGUCAGGGGAAAGAAAGUUCUGAUCUACCCCAGAGGAAGAGGCGGCUAACUCUGUGCCAGCAGCCGCGGUAAUACAGAGGCCUCGAGCGUUAGGCGGAAUCACUGGGCUUAAAGCGUGUGUAGGCGGAUGCCUAAGUACCUUGUGAAAUCCCACGGCUCACCCGUGGAACUGCUUGGUAUACUGGGUGUCUUGAGCCACCUAGGGGCGAGCGGAACAGAUGGUGGAGCGGUGAAAUGCGUAGAUAUCAUCUGGAACGCCAAUGGUGAAAACAGCUCGCUGGGGGUGUGCUGACGCUGAGACACGAAAGCCAGGGGAGCAAACGGGAUUAGAUACCCUGGUAGUC
rnacentral:rRNA from 1 species